GGGCCCGCACAAGCGGUGGAGUAUGUGGUUUAAUUCGAAGCAACGCGCAGAACCUUACCAACCCUUGACAUCCUGUGCCACUCCGAGAGAUCGGACGUUCCCUUCGGGGACGCAGUGACAGGUGCUGCAUGGCUGUCGUCAGCUCGUGUCGUGAGAUGUUCGGUUAAGUCCGGCAACGAGCGCAACCCACAUCCUUAGUUGCCAGCAGUUCGGCUGGGCACUCUAGGGAAACUGCCCGUGAUAAGCGGGAGGAAGGUGUGGAUGACGUCAAGUCCUCAUGGCCCUUACGACCAGGGCUACACACGUGCUACAAUGGUAGGUACAGAGGGCAGCUACACAGCGAUGUGAUGCGAAUCUCAAAAGCCUAUCGUAGUCCAGAUUGGAGUCUGCAACUCGACUCCAUGA
rnacentral:rRNA from 1 species